UCUACAUUUUUGUAAGAUAAUUUUGCUGUUGUUAGGUGUUCCUUCGGACGGCAGAGGGGUGUGUCCGAGUGAAGCUGGUGGAGUGUUGGCAGUCGAAGUACGAGUUUGUGACGAGUGAGAUGUGGACGACAACCGAGAGCAGACAAAUGCAACAGCUAAAAAUGAGCGCAUGACGAAUGAACGAAUAUUGGAGAUAGUUGGUGGUGGAUUGACAAAGGAGCGAACAUAAAGGAAAGAUAGCAGCGAUGUGUCAAGUAAGUGUGUUGGUGGCGUGACAAAUGAGUGUACUGGUGGUGAAGCAACAAAUGAAAGCCACAACGAUCGACGGUGCCGAUGUGGCAAAUAAGCAUAUACAAUGUAUGGUUAGUGGGUAGGAAGCAAAAGAAAGCACAAGCAAAAUGAUCGACGGUGCUGUCAUGGACAGACAAAAUGCUCAAUUGGCGGUGAGCCCUGCAAACAUUUUCUAUCGUACGAGGCGAUAUCAUUUUUUAGUCUAAUUAAUGUCUCGACACGGGAGAAAACCAGUCAAUUGGUAAUAUAUCCCAACGAGAGACUACAAAAAGUUUAAAAUUCGAGUGUGUCAUUGAAAAAAAAAAGAGUAAAUUCUCUUUUUUCCAAGUUUUUUCGGUUGGGUUUCGUUAUAGACAAACGAAACAGAAAUAAUGAAAAAGAAAAAUGCGGAGCAGAGAAUUAGAUGCUACAACUCCAAUUGUAUGGGACAUUACUCGGCCGAAUGCAGAAAGCCUAGAAGAAAGCCAGGGGUAUGGCAGUAUGAAGCAUUUUGUGGCGAUUUGCCUGAGAGGAAGAUGAAGGCAGCGAAUAAACAGAACGAAUAUAAUGCCUGAUGGACACAGGGAAACCGGCGAGCUUAGUGAGGAGGUCAUGAGUAGAGGGUCGUUUCGAUGUGAAUAGGUUGGCAGGAGUGGGGCGCUAUUAUUUGGGGUGAAUCGAUGGGAGAUUGACUUUUGGAAAUUGUUUAUUUUAUAUUGUUUUUCGUAGCAAAAAGAUUGAAAUUGA